GCCCGAGGGGCUAAGUCAGUUAAGCAUCUGACUUCAGCUCAGGUGAUAAUCUCACAGUUCGUGGGUUUGAGCCCCGCGUCGGGCU
rnacentral:tRNA from 1 species